rnacentral:rRNA from 1 species
CCUACGGGAGGCAGCAGUGAGGAAUAUUGGUCAAUGGGCGCGAGCCUGAACCAGCCAAGUCGCGUGAAGGAUUACUGCCCUACGGGUUGUAAACCUCUUUUAUAAAGGAAUAAAGUCAGGCACGUGUGCCUUUUUGUAUGUUCUUCCUGAAUAAGGCUCGGCUAACUCCGUGCCAGCAGCCGCGGUAAUACGGAGGAUCCAACCUGUUUUCGGAUUUUUUUGGUUUAAAGGGUUGGUAGAUGGGUUGUUAAGUCAGGUGGGAAAGUUUGCGGCUGAACCGUAAAAUUGCAAUUGAUACUGGCAGUCUUGAGUAGAGUUGAGGUGGGCGGAAUGCGUGGUGUAGCGGUGAAAUGCUGAGAUAUCACGAAGAACUCCGAUUGCGAAGGCAGUUCACUGGACUGCAACUGACACUGAGGCUCGAAAGUGUGGGUAUCAAACAGGAUUAGAUACCCCAGUAGUC